rnacentral:rRNA from 1 species
AGAGUUUGAUCCUGGCUCAGGAUGAACGCUAGCUACAGGCUUAACACAUGCAAGUCGAGGGGCAGCAUAGAAGUUAGCUUGCUAACUUCGGAUGGCGACCGGCGGAUGGGUGAGUAACACGUAUCCAACCUGGCCUUUACAAUGGGAUAGGCUUUCGAAAGAAAGAUUAAUACUGUAUGUUCCGUGAUCUCCGCAUGGAGAUUCCGGCAAAGAUUUAUCGGUAAAGGAUGGGGAUGCGUUCCAUUAGGCAGUUGGCGGGGUAACGGCCCACCAAACCUACGAUGGAUAGGGGUUCUGAGAGGAAGGUCCCCCACAUUGGAACUGAGACACGGUCCAAACUCCUACGGGAGGCAGCAGUGAGGAAUAUUGGUCAAUGGGCGAGAGCCUGAACCAGCCAAGUAGCGUGAAGGAUGACUGCCCUAUGGGUUGUAAACUUCUUUUAUAAGGGAAUAAAGUGGAGUAUGUAUACUCCUUUGUAUGUACCUUACGAAUAAGGAUCGGCUAACUCCGUGCCAGCAGCCGCAGUAAUACGGAGGAUCCGAGCGUUAUCCGGAUUUAUUGGGUUUAAAGGGAGCGUAGGCGGAUGUUUAAGUCAGUUGUGAAAGUUUAAGGCUCAACCUUGAAAUUGCAGNUGAUACUGGAUAUCUUGAGUACAUUGAAUGUGGGCGGAAUUCGNGGUGUANCGGNGAAAUGCUUANAUAUCACGAANAACUCCAAUUGCGAAGGCAGCUCACAGUAAUGGAACUGACNCUGAUGCUCNAAAGNGNGGGUAUCAAACAGGAUUANAUACCCUGGNAGUCCCCCAGNNAACNAUGAANACUCCCUGNUUGCGAUAUACANNACAUUUNNGUGGGUGAANCGGNUAAANGNNUNNNAUUAUCCCNGAAGNACUCCCAAUUGNGAAGGNCAGCUCCCAGUAAUGGUAACUGCCCCUUGAUGCUCNAAAGUGUGGGUNUCNAACCCAGGAUUAGAAUACCCCUGGUAGUCCNCCCCAGUAACCGAUGAAUACUCGGCUGUUUUGCGAUAUACAGUAAAGCGGGCCAAGCGAAAAGCGUUAAGUAUUCCACNUGGGGAGUACGCCGGGCAACGGUGAAACUCAAAGGAAUUGACGGGGGCCCGCACAAGCGGAGGAACAUGUGGUUUAAUUCGAUGAUACGCGAGGAACCUUACCCGGGCUUGAAUUGCACUCGAAUAUGGUUGAAAGAUCAUAGCCGCAAGGCGAGUGUGAAGGUGCUGCAUGGUUGUCGUCAGCUCGUGCCGUGAGGUGUCGGCUUAAGUGCCAUAACGAGCGCAACCCUUAUUUCCAGUUACCAUCGGGUGAUGCCGGGGACUCUGGAAAGACUGCCGUCGUAAGAUGUGAGGAAGGUGGGGAUGACGUCAAAUCAGCACGGCCCUUACGUCCGGGGCUACACACGUGUUACAAUGGGUGGUACAGAAGGCAGCUACACGGCAACGUGAUGCUAAUCCCAAAAACCACUCUCAGUUCGGAUUGGAGUCUGCAACCCGACUCCAUGAAGCUAGAUUCGCUAGUAAUCGCGCAUCAGCCACGGCGCGGUGAAUACGUUCCCGGGCCUUGUACACACCGCCCGUCAAGCCAUGAAAGCCGGGGGUACCUGAAGUGCGUAACCGUAAGGAGCGCCCUAGGGUAAAACUGGUAAUUGGGGCUAAGUCGUAACAAGGUAGCC